UGGCAGACACCAGUUCAACUCCAGAUGCUAGUAGUGUCAUAUCUUCACCAGCAGAUGGGAGCCAAUCUGAAUCCACCACCAGCUCAGAUACCCAAACAGUGACUGUUCACCUUAAAGUCUCUGCUUCGUCCUAUGAUAACGAAAAUGAAGCUGUGAUUUUAGAGGCUUUAUCCAAUUUUAUAUCUCAGACUCUUAUCGAGCAGAAUUGUGAGGACUGCACUGCAACAAUCAAAUCCAUCAAACUCACCCGGGAAAAGGUCUAAUUAGACCAAAAACAGGUCGAGUGCCAGUGAAACUGCAAUAAAUCAUCACAAAAAGAACAAGUAAAAAACUACAAGAACAGCAUUGAAAAAGCAUAGUUGUAAAAAUACUGCAGUUUCGGUGAAUUGUUUUCACAGGGGACACAAACCCCAUUCUCCUGGGUAAACGUCUGCAGUUAGUUCGACCCAAGAGUUGGGAGAGAGCUGAAUAUCACAUAGAUGCAAGGAUGACACAUACACUAAAAAUACCCAGUGAAGGUUUUCUACCACGAGAAGGAACAUUACUGUACACAAGAAAAACAGAAAGAAUUAAUAGUGAUUUCCUUUUGCUCCAAACCUGAAGCUCCUAAAUAUAACUUGGCCUAAACAUGACCACUGGCAAUGAUGUCCAGUGUUCUUUUCCUCCAGCUUUUUGCUGUAUAUCAUAGAAAGUAUAACAAAAUAGUUCUUUACUGCAGCCACAUUGUUCUGGGAUUUUGCAUUGUUUCAAAGAUCUGAUGUCCAGUUUUCAAGUUAAUUUUAGGAACCAAACGUUCCUCUGAAAUCUCACUUUUUUGAACAAAUCUUUUGACAAUAUAUCAGACUCGACUGUGUGUUUCACUGCCAAACACACUAUUGAUUCAAAGAUUCUGUUCUCACAGCUGUGCAUACACUGUAUGAUAAUAUUGAUAAUGAAUUUCAAUAAAUUGAUUAUUUAUCACUAUCUGAUACUGUCAGAAAAAAGCUCAAUGUGCAAUAAAUGAUAAUACAAAAUGUUGCUUGCACUUGCUCAUCAUAUAUAUCUGAAUAGCAGUGC